rnacentral:rRNA from 1 species
GUCCACGCCGUAAACGAUGUCAACUAGCCGUUGGAUUCCUUGAGGAUUUAGUGGCGCAGCUAACGCAUUAAGUUGACCGCCUGGGGAGUACGGCCGCAAGGUUAAACUCAAAUGAAUUGACGGGGCCCGCACAAGCGGUGGAGCAUGUGGUUUAAUUCGAAGCAACGCGAAGAACCUUACCAGGCCUUGACAUCUACAGAACUUUCCAGAGAUGGAUUGGUGCCUUCGGGAACUGUAAGACAGGUGCUGCAUGGCUGUCGU